GAUGAACGCUGGCGGCGUGCCUAACACAUGCAAGUCGAACGGACAAAGAUGAAACCUAGUGAUUCUUUGUUAGUGGCGGACGGGUGAGUAACGCGUGGGUAACCUGCCUCGCACUGGGGGAUAACAGUUAGAAAUGACUGCUAAUACCGCAUAAGCGCACAGUACCGCAUGGUACAGUGUGAAAAAACUCCGGUGGUGUGAGAUGGACCCGCGUCUGAUUAGCUGGUUGGUGGGGUAACGGCCUACCAAGGCAACGAUCAGUAGCCGGCCUGAGAGGGUGACCGGCCACAUUGGGACUGAGACACGGCCCAAACUCCUACGGGAGGCAGCAGUGGGGAAUAUUGGGGCAAUGGGGGGAAACCCUGACCCAGCAACGCCGCGUGGAGGAAGAAGGUUUUCGGAUCGGUAAACUCCUGUCCCUCAGGGAAGAGCAGAAGACGGUACCUGAGGAGGAACGCCCCGGCUAACACGUGCCAGCAGCGCGUAAGUACUCAGUG
rnacentral:rRNA from 1 species